rnacentral:rRNA from 1 species
UGGGGAAUAUUGCAUAAUGGAGGGAACUCUGAUGCAGCGACGCCGCGUGAACGAAGAAGGCUUUCGAGUCGUAAAGUUCUUUUAUAUGGGAAGAUAAUGACGGUACCAUAAGAAAAAGCCCCGGCUAACUACGUGCCAGCAGCCGCGGUAAUACGUAGGGGGCUAGCGUUGUCCGGAAUCACUGGGCGUAAAGGGUUCGCAGGCGGAAAUGCAAGUCAGGUGUAAAAGGCAGUAGCUUAACUACUGUAAGCAUUUGAAACUGCAUAUCUUGGGAAGAGUAGAGGUAAGUGGAAUUUUUAGUGUAGCGGUGAACUGCGUAGAUAUUAAAAAGAAUACCGGUGGCGAAGGCGACUUACUGUGCUCAUUCUGACGCUGAGGAACGAAAGCGUGGGUAGCAAACAGG